rnacentral:misc_RNA from 1 species
UCCGGUUUGGCACCGGCAGUCUGACUAGAGUCCCCGACAUUACUCGCUGGCAACUAGUCACAAGGGUUGCGCUCGUUGCGGGACUUAACCCAACAUCUCACGACACGAGCUGACGACAGCCAUGCACCACCUGUUAUGGGCCCUUUCGGACACCGUAUCUCUACGGCUUUUCCCAUAAUGUCAAACCCAGGUAAGGUUCUUCGGGUCGCAUCGAAUUAAGCCGCAUGCUCCGCCGCUUGUGCGGGGACCCGUCAAUUCCUUUGAGUUUCAGCCUUGCGGCCGUACUCCCCAGGCGGGGCACUUAAUGCGUUAGCGCCGGCACCCGGAGGGUCGCUCCCCCGGGCACCUAGUGCCCAUCGUUUACGGCUAGGACUAC